GUUCUUUGAAUUUUUCCUUUUGUUGAAGCUUGUAUGUUGAAGCUUUGUGAGUGAAGCAUGUAGGUUGAGGUAAUGCUCCCUUAAUUUCCCGAGUGAGGAAAACUUCUCGUUUGGAGACUUGAAAAAUCUAAGUCACUGAGUGGUCGUGACACUUCCGAGUAUCAAGGUGCAGUAGCAUAUGGUAGGAGUCCCCCAAGUCUUCGGUCGAGGGAGUUGACGAAUGAGAAAUUUUCGAAUUUUUUAAUUUGCGAAUUUCCGAAAAUUUUUAUAUAUAUAUAUAUAUAUAUAUAUAUAUAUAUAUAUAUAUUUUUUUUUAAAGCUUUGUAGGCGAAGCUUUGGUGUUGAAGCUUUGUAGGUGAAGCUUUGAGGUUGAAGCUUUGUUGGGCACCAUAAAUUGAUUUUGCUUCACACUAUCUUGAUCAAGAUAGUGUAGGUGAAGCUUUUGUGUUGAAGUUUUGUAGGUGAAGCUUUUGUGGGUCAAGCUUUUGUAGGUGAAGCUUUUGUGGGUCAAGCUUUUGUGGGUCAAGAUUUUAUGGGUGAAACUUUUGUGGGUGAAACUACAGCAAAUAAAUCGUACUAUUUUUUAAACUGAACAAAAAUAACUCACACUAUUUCUGGAACUACAACAAAAUAACUCACAUUAUUUCUACAAUUUGACCCAAAUAACCCACACUAUUUCUAAACGGUAACAAAAUAAAGAUUAUUUCUAAAACCACAACAAAAUAACCAACACUAUUUCUAAAAACGAACAAAAAAAAGCUAAGAAAAACUAAUGAAAAGAGCUUCAAUACUUUGAAUUUUAACCAAAAAUCAUGUAAUAACAUUAUUUAAUGGUCAGUGCAAAAUCCAAUAUCAAGCCAGCCCAAUAAGACUAGCCCCAAAAAUAUAAUAUAUCGAGCUUCCGAUUUUACCUUUGACGUUAAGUCUUGUCCGUUGGUCCGUUUCACUUCAGAUGGAGAUAGAGAAGGUUUAUAGAUUCAAAUCUUUUUGUUAAUUUCAUCACAAUUCCAACACACGUAUCGACAACCCCAACAACUCUAGAAAAUGCAAUCGAAAUCCUGAUGCAUGUGAACAAUAGAUGCAGAUAGGUUGGGGCUUUUCGUCCGUCUUCGCAAUGUAAGUGUUUCCAGCGUUUGAUAAAUGUAUUUGAAUAUGCAACUUGAUUUGGUGUAUUUUGGAAAUUAGAGUUUAUAAGUUUGGGAAAUGUUGAUUAGUGGAUGUAAUUUUUUGGUGGUGUUUGAUAAUUGCGGAGUUAAUUAACUGUUUUAGAUUGCGAAUCUCAAAGUAGGUUUAAGCUAUUAAGAGUUUGGUGCCGUAAUCUGAUACAUGUAUAUGUUUUUGUUAGCUUGUGGCAGUUUAUGUUUUUAGUCCAAAUGGAAGAGUGUAGGUUUGCUGCAUUUUGUGGUUCAGUUUGUGAAGUGGCAGUUUUUGGAUGUAGGUAGCUGUGGUUGCUCAGACGGUAGCGAAAAGCCUUGUCAACAUGCAGGUUGCUAAGGACUCAGAAGAAUCUUCUAAGGACGAGGAACGGGAUACUGAAAAGUAAAAGCCAAGAUGGCACUGAGAACCAAGACGAGCAUGAAAAGCCAAGAAAUGUUGCUCUUGAUAAAAUAGAGAAAGCUAGAAAUCAUGUUGCAGGUACAUAUAUUUUCAUUUCUCAGCAUUGGUGAUUAAUGAUUAUUCACUUGAUUUAUUUGCACAUAUGAAGAUUUUUAUCUUUCAAUAUACUUUUGGUUUUCCUGAACUUGCAAGUUGUUGCUAAGUGAAGGUAAAAAAAUUUGAGUUAUUAUUCAUACUAUUUUGUUAUAAGAAAAGUUGUUUGGUGUGGCCUUGUAACUCCUCUAAAAUUGAAUCAUAAUUAUUUAUGUACUUUGCACCCUGCAAUCAUUUCCUAUAAUAGGAUGGUGAGGGAGAAUGGAUGGGGACCCAACCAGUUACAAAAGAUGCUCACUUUGCACUCUGUUCAGUUUAAGAAGUAGUCAGUAUUCAGUUUAAGAAAUAGUGAUAAUACUCGUGUUUAGUUCUAGAAACAGUCAGUGUUCAGUUUACGAAAUAGUGAUAGUACCAGUAUUCAGUUUAAGAAAUAGUUAGUGCUCACUUUAAUAAAUAGUGAUAUUAUUGUGUUUAGUUCUAGAAAUAGUUAGUGGUCAGUUUACGAAAUAGUGAUAGUACUAGUGUUCAGUUUAAGAAAUAGUCAAUGUUCAAUUCCAGAAAUAAUUUGUGUUCAAUUUAAGAAAUAGUGAUAGGACUAGUUUUCAAUUUACGAAAUAGUGAUAGUACCGGUGUUCAGUUUAAGAAAUAGCCAAUGCUCAAUUAAGAAAUAGUAAUAGUAUCGUGUUUAUUUCUAGAAAUAGUUAGCGGUCAGUUUACGAAAUAGUGAUAGUACCAGUGUUCAGUUUAAGAAAUAGUCAGUGCUCACUUUAAGAAAUAGUGAUAGUAUCAUGUUUAGUUCUAGAAAUAUUUAGUAGUCAGUUUACGAAAUAGUGACAGUACCAAUGUUCAGUAUAAGAAAUAGUCAAUGUUCAAUUCUAGAAAUAGUAUGUGUUCAAUUUAAUAAAUAAUGAUAGUACCAGUGUUGAGUUUACGAAAUAGUGAUAGUACCAGUGUUUAGUUUUAGAAAUAGUCAGUGCCAACUUUAAGAAAUAGUGAUAGUCAGUGUUCAUUUUCAAUAAAAUUUAGGCUGUUUUUUUUUUUUUUUUGGAUAGAAAAUAAAAAAGCUAUAUUAAAGAAAACCCCUAGGGCAAUCCAUUUGAGUACAAUCGAAGAGAAAGGUUGGCAAGCAACAAUCAGAAUAGAACUUAGGGCAUGUUUAUCAAACCGAAAUGGAAUGGAAAGAAACGGAAUCGUAUUCCUCCCGAAGCAUUCCAGUGUUUACUAACAUGUAGGGAAUGAAAAAAUAAGUGGGACCCCUUUAAAAUCCGGAAUCAAAUUCCUUAAUCUUCUGGAAUUCAAUUACCUACAUGGAGGUGGUAAUUAAAUUCCAAGAGGAAGCCUUCUUCUGGAAUCAAACGUUUCUACCCAAAAUACCCUUAUACCUUCCACCAAUAACACACCAUCUCCUUCGUUUCUCCUCUGCCGACUCCUUACACCUUGACCACCACCACAACACGAACUUACACAUACCAACAACAACGCCAAAAUUGAUUCGACCCAUCCGCCGAGUUGACCAUUCAAUCUUGUCCGUUAGCCACCACAAUGCCAUCCACCACUGACCCAUCUUGACCCACACACCGGCAACCCAUUGUAGCACUUUCCCAACACAACCCACCAAUAAGAUCUGGUAACAAUUCUAUCUUGUAUGUUGUGUAUGAUUUGGUGAAGACAAGGUCAAAUUUGGUGGAAUAGGGAUUGGGCGUCAAGAUUGCAGGGUGAAUUAGGAAGUACGAUGCGAAUUGGUAUUGGCGGAGGAGUUGCUUCGGCAGAAGAGCUGGUGAGAUGCAGAGGAAACAAAGGGUUGGUAUCGAUAGAAAGAGUUUUU
rnacentral:lncRNA from 1 species